rnacentral:rRNA from 1 species
GAUGAACGCUGGCGGCGUGCCUAAUACAUGCAAGUCGAGCGAAUGGAUUAAGAGCUUGCUCUUAUGAAGUUAGCGGCGGACGGGUGAGUAACACGUGGGUAACCUGCCCAUAAGACUGGGAUAACUCCGGGAAACCGGGGCUAAUACCGGAUAACAUUUUGAACCGCAUGGUUCGAAAUUGAAAGGCGGCUUCGGCUGUCACUUAUGGAUGGACCCGCGUCGCAUUAGCUAGUUGGUGAGGUAACGGCCCACCAAGGCAACGAUGCGUAGCCGACCUGGGAGGGGGAGCGGCCACACUGGGACUGAGACACGGCCCAGACUCCUACGGGGGGCAGCAGUAGGGAAGCUUCCGCAAUGGACGAAAGUCUGACGGAGCAACGCCGCGUGAGUGAUGAAGGCUUUCGGGUCGUAAAACUCUGUUGUUAGGGAAGAACAAGUGCUAGUUGAAUAAGCUGACACCUUGACGGUACCUAACCAGAAAGCCACGGCUAACUACGUGCCAGCAGCCGCCGUAA